CCCGAGAGCGGCCGUUCCGUUCGGGGCUAUCGCAGCGGGGCCUGGGCUGUGAGCCCAGCCUUUAGCAUGAACUGCACUAAGAGCUGCCACUACCGAAACCUGAAAUGAAAUUUAGACCGCGAGUUGGGUGUGAGGUCAAUAGUUUCGCCACUUAGCCGGAUCGCUGUUACGCAGCGAGGGCAAGCUGAAUUUAUUUAGCUGUCAGACCAGAGUUCUUCUGAGUUAACUGAUUCCAGAACUGUUACAAUAGCAGAAAUGUUCUUGUUUCAUUGAUGCAGGAGAGAAGGCUUUUGACUACAGUUUCUCUUGCUCUCCUGUCCUCCUUGGGAUGUUUUCAGCCCUGAAUGAGAACAGAAACUUCAGAUCACUGCUUUGCCUUCACUCAUAUCACUUCACAGGAGACCAGAUGUUCCUCAUUUCAAAGAGAGCAGUGACCAGGAGUGCUGCAGGCAGGAACCACAAACAGAAACCUGGCACUUAACUUCCUUGACAAAUGGGUGAGCAAUAGUUGUCCCUAGUGUUCAGCAG
rnacentral:lncRNA from 1 species